rnacentral:misc_RNA from 1 species
GUAAAAGAAACGCAGUACUCUGGGUCACCUCCCCCCGUGUUUAUUUUACCUUGUUGCUUCGGCGGGCCCGCCUUAACUGGCCGCCGGGGGGCUUACGCCCCCGGGCCCGCGCCCGCCGAAGACACCCUCGAACUCUGUCUGAAGAUUGAAGUCUGAGUGAAAAUAUAAAUUAUUUAAAACUUUCAACAACGGAUCUCUUGGUUCCGGCAUCGAUGAAGAACGCAGCGAAAUGCGAUACGUAAUGUGAAUUGCAAAUUCAGUGAAUCAUCGAGUCUUUGAACGCACAUUGCGCCCCCUGGUAUUCCGGGGGGCAUGCCUGUCCGAGCGUCAUUGCUGCCCUCAAGCCCGGCUUGUGUGUUGGGCCCCGUCCCCCGAUCUCCGGGGGACGGGCCCGAAAGGCAGCGGCGGCACCGCGUCCGGUCCUCGAGCGUAUGGGGCUUUGUCACCCGCUCUGUAGGCCCGGCCGGCGCUUGCCGAUCAACCCAAAUUUUUAUCCAGGUUGACCUCGGAUCAGGUAGGGAUACCCGCUGAACUUAAGCAUAUCAAUAAGCAGGAGGAAUACCGAGUGAGGGCCCUCUGGGUCCUCCUCCCACCGUGGUUAUCUUACCUUGGUGCUUCGGCGGGCCCGCUCAACUGGCCGCCGGGGCGGCUUACGCCUACCGGCCCGCACCAGCGAAAGACCCCUCGACCUCCGACCGAACUCAGAACAUCCUACCUCAAACUUCUACAGUUUUUUUGAGACUUUUCAUCAAGGGAAUCUUUGGGUUUCGGCAUCGAUUAAAAAACGCAGCGAAAAUGCGAUACGUUAAUGUUGAAUUUGCAAAAUUCGCUGGAAUCAUCGAGGUCUUUUGAACGCCAAUUGCGCCCCGGGGUUUUUCCGGGGGGGGCGUUGCCGGUCCC